CUACAGUUGGAAAGGCAAGUGGUCAGAGGUAGUGGCGACACUGAUGAUUACUACCAGGCCCCUCCUUCCCUUGGUGAUCAAAGAUACGUCACAAGUCAGGAAAGUGACCGCGGGGUGCGUCAAACCCGUGGAAGGAAAGCGAGGAAUGUACAAGAAAGUGAGGAGUCCAUGUACUUAGAAGUAAGGAGAUAAAAGAAUAGGCAUGCGGCACGAGACUGUGGCACCUGAUUAUAGAUGUACUGACCGAUUAACUUUGUCUUGACUUAUCCAUUUAUGAUUUUGUUAAUAUAUAUAGUAUGGAACGGCUGAAAACUAAUGUUUUCGUGAUCAGUAACUUUCUGUUUUUUCAAAAAAAUUUUUACAUGAUUGAAAUUGACGAACAAACAACAGAGAUUUAGAGGCUGUCAUUAGAGGAUAAAGUGUACAUUUAGACUAAACAAAUUUUAAAUCAAAGAUAAUAAACAAGAUUUAUAUUUCA